CCAAAUUCAAGCAUAUGCAGAUCACCUAAUUGACAAACGGGAUUUGUUUCUUCACCAACUCGAUCAAGAUUCAAUUGAGAAAGACGAAGAAUUGAGGAAAAAGUCGUCGGAGUAAGGAUAAUCUGAGAAGCGAAUCGGAUUGAGAAGAGCCGCCAUCCGUUGAGAUGAUGAAGAUGCCAUCCUCCGAUCACCGACUUAAACAAUCAACGGAGGAGACGAAGAUUUGAGACUGAGAAGAUUUCUCUUUGGUUUCUCAGUCACAGAGAAAAGAGAGAGAGAGAAAAACGCGAAACAAUUUUUUUCCUUCCUCGUGUUUUACCAAGCCCCAUUCUGUGAACGACACAUGUCCGUCUCUUAGGUGAAUAAACAUUUCUUAACUAAGGAACGUUCCUUAAGUUUAACUCUCAUUUUCCAUUUAAUUUUAAUUAUAUAAUCUCUAAGAUUUAUGUUAAGAAACUACCGUUAAUGAUGCUCUAA